UUAAUUGAAACCAAAAAGAGGUAUAUCACUGUUAAUGAUAUUAUUGAGUUAUAACUCCAAUUAAG
rnacentral:tRNA from 1 species